AUUGAACGCUGGCGGCAUGCCUCACACAUGCAAGUCGAACGGCAGCAUGAUCUAGCUUGCUAGAUUGAUGGCGAGUGGCGAACGGGUGAGUAAUACAUCGGAACGUGCCCUGUAGUGGGGGAUAACUAGUCGAAAGAUUAGCUAAUACCGCAUACGACCUGAGGGUGAAAGUGGGGGACCGCAAGGCCUCAUGCUAUAGGAGCGGCCGAUGUCUGAUUAGCUAGUUGGUGAGGUAAAGGCUCACCAAGGCGACGAUCAGUAGCUGGUCUGAGAGGACAAUCAGCCACACUGGGACUGAGACACGGCCCAGACUCCUACGGGAGGCAGCAGUGGGGAAUUUUGGACAAUGGGCGAAAGCCUGAUCCAGCAAUGCCGCGUGUGUGAAGAAGGCCUUCGGGUUGUAAAGCACUUUUGUCCGGAAAGAAAUGGAUCUGGUUAAUACCUGGGGUCGAUGACGGUACCGGAAGAAUAAGGACCGGCUAACUACGUG
rnacentral:rRNA from 1 species